AUGAAGUGUUGUUUUGGAGAUCACUGGAUCCAUGGAUUUGCAAUCAAGGACAUUACCUCUCUGAUCGUUGCUCUUGCGGAUACUUGCACCGUCAAUCACCGUUAUGUGCAACAAGAAAUGACUGGAGAAGCUUGGAUUCAAGACAUACAAUCCAUGUUCUCCUUCACGACGCAACUACAACUCAUGCAUCUUAGGCAUGCCAUUGCCAUAGUCCAGACAAAUUGCAACAUGUCAGACGUCUUCUCUUGGCCUCGUGCGGCAACAUAUUUGUACUCGGCCAAGUCGACCUAUGCCCGGCUAUGCCUUGGACUGACGCGCUCUCCUUAUGCUACAUCAAUUUGGAGAAGUUGGGUGCCCCUCAAGUGCAAGAUAUUUGCCUAG
rnacentral:rRNA from 1 species